rnacentral:rRNA from 1 species
UACGUAGGGUGCGAGCGUUAAUCGGAAUUACUGGGCGUAAAGCGUGCGCAGGCGGUCUGUUAAGACCGAUGUGAAAUCCCCGGGCUUAACCUGGGAACUGCAUUGGUGACUGGCAGGCUUUGAGUGUGGCAGAGGGAGGUAGAAUUCCACGUGUAGCAGUGAAAUGCGUAGAGAUGUGGAGGAAUACCGAUGGCGAAGGCAGCCUCCUGGCCAACACUGACGCUCAUGCACGAAAGCGUGGGGAGCAAACAGG